rnacentral:rRNA from 1 species
GUAUGGGGCGAGCGUUGUUCGGAUUUACUGGGCGUAAAGGGCUUGUAGGUGGUGGAUCAAGUCGGAUGUGAAAUCUCCGGGCUUAACCCGGAAAUUGCAUUCGAAACUGAUCCGCUAGAGUACCGGAGAGGGAAACGGAAUUCCUGGUGUAGGGGUGAAAUCUGUAGAUAUCAGGAAGAACACCGGUGGCGAAGGCGGUUUCCUGGCCGGAUACUGACACUGAGGAGCGAAAGCUAGGGGAGCAAACAGGAUUAGAUACCCUGGGUAGUCCUAGCCGUAAACGUUGUGCACUAGGUGUAAGUAGGUUUAUCUACUUGUGCCGUAGCUAACGCAUUAAGUGCACCGCCUGGGGAGUAUGCUCGCAAGGUG